rnacentral:ncRNA from 1 species
CUAACAUCUAUGCGAGUGUUCGGGUGUCAAACCCGUCCGCGCAGUGAAAGCGAACGGAGGUGGGAGCCCCUCGGGGCGCACCAUCGACCGAUCCUGAUGUCUUCGGAUGGAUUUGAGUAAGAGCAUAGCUGUUGGGACCCGAAAGAUGGUGAACUAUGCCUGAAUAGGGCGAAGCCAGAGGAAACUCUGGUGGAGGCUCGCAGCGGUUCUGACGUGCAAAUCGAUCGUCAAAUUUGGGUAUAGGGGCGAAAGACUAAUCGAACCAUCUGGUAGCUGG